rnacentral:rRNA from 1 species
GAUGAACGCUAGCGACAGGCUUAACACAUGCAAGUCGAACGGGGGCGUGAUGUGCGAGAGGGAUAGUUUACUAGACUUCAAACUUUUCACGCCCUAGUGGCGGACGGGUGAGUAACGCGUGGGUAACCUGCCAUAUACAGGGGGAUAACACUUAGAAAUAGGUGCUAAUACCGCAUAAGCGCACAGGGGCGCAUGCCCCGGUGUGAAAAACUCCGGUGGUAUAUGAUGGACCCGCGUCUGAUUAGCCAGUUGGCAGGGUAACGGCCUACCAAAGCGACGAUCAGUAGCCGGCCUGAGAGGGCGGACGGCCACAUUGGGACUGAGACACGGCCCAA